rnacentral:rRNA from 1 species
AAAGGGCGCGUAGGCGGUUUUCUAAGUGAGAUGUGCAAUCCCCGAGCUUAACUUGGGAACUGCAUCUCAGACUGGGAGGCUAGAGUGCUGGAGAGGGUGGUAGAAUUCCACGUGUAGCGGUGAAAUGCGUAGAGAUGUGGAGGAAUACCAGUGGCGAAGGCGGCCACCUGGACAGUAACUGACGCUGAGGCGCGAAAGUGUGGGUAGCAAACAGGAUUAGAUACCCGGGU